UACGAAGGGGGCUAGCGUUGUUCGGAAUUACUGGGCGUAAAGGGCGCGUAGGCGGCCUGUUUAGUCAGAAGUGAAAGCCCCGGGCUCAACCUGGGAAUAGCUUUUGAUACUGGCAGGCUUGAGUUCCGGAGAGGAUGGUGGAAUUCCCAGUGUAGAGGUGAAAUUCGUAGAUAUUGGGAAGAACACCGGUGGCGAAGGCGGCCAUCUGGACGGACACUGACGCUGAGGCGCGAAAGCGUGGGGAGCAAACAGGAUUAGAAACCCCGGUAGU
rnacentral:rRNA from 1 species